CUCAUAAUCUAGUAAGGAAGGAGGCAAAGCAAUACAUGUGGAAGAACCAAUAAGGCAGCAUACAAUAAUUGCCAGGAAAGAGGUUAUUUUUUAAAUGCUUGAAGAGUUUGAAAGAAGCCAAGAUCAUUUCUAGUAAGGGCAAUCAAUGAAGGUUUCUUGGGGAAGUUAAGAUGAAUUCUGAGACUGGAAGGGUGGGUACAACAGGAGAGAUAGGUUGGGACAUUCCCAGUAGAGGAACCAUCAUUAGCAGAGGUACAGAGUUAGAAAGACUCAAGAGUUGUUUGGGAAACAGGGGGAAACCCCAUUUGGUUAGAGUUUUUGUAGAAUGUUGGGUCUCCUUGGCCUCUGUGGCUUUCAAAGACCCAACUGCAUUGCUAUUUCUCAUAUAUUUCCAAUGACUCUUGAAAUAAUCUCUUCACAGACUCUUCAACUAUUGACCUCAGUCUUUCACCAGGUAUCUCCCACUAUUAUGCCUUUUGACAGUCCAAGUCUGUUUUUCUUACCCUUUUGGCAUGGAAUAAAGUACAUGGAAGAAAAAAGAGAAAAACAUUCAAUUUAGAUUCAUAUAUAAUUUACCUAAGGCUAUAUAUAGAAUUAUUCGAUGGUCUAAUUCCAAGAAGAACUCAGAGCCCUGUGGACUCUAAUAACAACUAAUAGGGUCCUUUUUUUUUUCCUUUUAACCUUUACCUUCUAUCUUAGACUUCAUACUGAGUAUCAGUUCCUAGCCAGAAGAGUGUAAGGGCUGGGCAAAGAAGGGUUAAGUACUUGCGCAAGGUCUCACAGCUAGGAAGCAUCUGAGGCCAAAUUUGAACCCAGGUCUUCCUGCCUCUAGGACUGGCUCGCCAUCUACUGAGCCACCUAGCAGUCCCUUUGUAAGAUCUUUAACUCACAUCCCUGUGCCCUCCUUUCUCCUCACUGUUCCAAUGUUAAUACCUUUCCUUUCUCCUUCCUCUACUCUCUCCCUUCUCUUUCCUCUUUCCCUCCCUGCCUAAUAAGUUUUGUGGUCUCUCUCCACCUGAAAGGAUUUUGUAAUUCAUCUGUCAUUCUUUCCCCCACCAACAAGCUUCAAUUCCAGACAUCUCCAAUCCUCCCUCACAGAAGGAACAUGAAAGAACAUUGAGUCCUCCUGAUUUGAAACCCAAAUACUCAUUUGUUUUUCUGUCAGGUUGGCUUUAAGCAAUUCCAUUGUGAGUAAACAAGAAAACCCUGAUUGCAAUAGCUCCACAAAAACUUUGGCUAUAGACACAGAGCAGAUGUGACCAAGGAAAGCAGAUCUAAGAAAGGAGGCAGCAGGAACUGGAAAGUAAUUGUUUCAAGCAAAGAAGGCAAAAUGUCCAUCAAAGACAGAACAUCAUUGACAGUGUAACAAGUAGAUAGAGAAUUGACAGGUUAAAAAAGGAGGCAAUUACUACCCCCAACUCCCCGCUUCAGAUAAUAGGGACAAGGAACCAAAAGCAACACACAAUAGCUGGAAUUGGCUAUCUGCAGAAGACUUCCCAGAAAUAAUCAUCCUGCACUGUGAUUGGG
rnacentral:lncRNA from 1 species